AUCACAGAGAACACAACCGAUAUAUAUGCACUUUACACUGAAUACCCGCUUUCCAUCACCCCCCCUCUCUCUCUCUCUCUCAUGACGAUUGGGAAUGCAAUUGGGGUCUAGGGCACGGAAUAGACCUCGAUUGUUGGCCGAGAAGAUGUAAUCUAAAGGAGACGUUCUCCGUUUCCGUGUCGAAACAAUUUCAAGCGUACUGUUCCUUAAGUUUCAACCACAUUUUCCUCUAGGGUUAUAUAGCUUUUAUGUUUUCAGUCGGGUUUGAAAUGAAGGGCUCGUCGGAUCGGACAAAGGUGGUGCUGCGGCACUUGCCGCCGGCGAUUUCUCAGGAAACGCUAAUGGACCAAAUCGACGCUUUCGCUGAUCGCUACCACUGGGUCACUUUCCGUCCGGGGAAACCAGGCACGCAACAUCAAUCCUAUUCUAGAGCCUACCUUGACUUCAAGAAACCUGAGGAUGUUAUUGAGUUCGCUGAUUUCUUUGAUGGGCACUUGUUUGUUAACGAGAAGGGCAUUCAAUUUAAAACUAUUGUUGAGUAUGCUCCUUCUCAACGUGUUCCAAAACAGUGGUCUAAAAAAGAUGGACGUGAAGGAACAAUACUAAAAGAUACCGAGUAUCUGGAGUUUCUUGAAUUUCUUGCAAAGCCUGUCGAAAAUCUUCCCAGUGCAGAGAUACAAUUAGAGAGAAGAGAAGCAGAACGUGGUGGUGUUUUAAAAGAUGCUCCUGUGGUUACACCAUUAAUGGACUUUGUUCGGCAGAAAAGAGCUGCUAAGGGUGGUUCUCGGCGAUCGUUGUCUAAUGGGAAAAUGAGCAGAAGAGCUGCUAGAUCAUUGACAGGAAGUCCCAGUUCAUCCUCAUCAAAACGAGGUUCUGCAAGGAUAAGGAUGUCCUCCACAAUGUAUGUUUUGAGGGAUGCUGCAAAGAACAUGAGUGUCAAAGACAAGUCAACAUACAUUUUGGUUCCAAAGCGAGAUGAUGAGCAGCUUUCUGAUAAGGCUGUUACUUUGGUUCCUGCAGCUGGAACUGAAUUAUUGGCGGAGGAAAGUGGAAUUUCUGGGACUAAUGAAUCUGGGAAAAAGAAACUCCUUCUGAAAGGGAAAGAGAGAGAGAUUUCACAUGUGUCUGGCAGCUUGUCACAGCAGCAAGGUUUAACAUCUUCAGCUGGGAACACAAUCGGUUCAGCUGCUCUCAAGCAGAACCAGCAACGCCAAGGUGGUGGAAGGAUAGUCAGAAGAAUACUUUUAAACAAGGAUUCACGUCAAAAUCAGUCUUUUUUGGGCUUGUCUGAGCAGCAAAUCCAGACUUCAAAUUUAGAAAAAGACAAGCGACCUCCUCGUCCCCCACAUGUGCAAUCGGUUUCGAAGGAUACAAUUCCAACUCCCGAUGAUAAGGUUGUUGGUAAAGACUUGCACAGGUUUUUUAAGGAGAGGCAGGAAAAACAUUCAAGAAAUAAGGAUAAGCCUGAUCGUGGCGUAUGGACUUCUCUUCGUCGUUUAGAUGGAUCUAAUGUCAAUGAUGAAUCUUUGGUAUCCUCUGCUUCUCAACUUUCACUGUCACCGGCAGAUUCUUCUGAAGGAUCUCAUGGAGAUGUGAUGAUUGACAUGCCAAAUGCUAGGAGUGGGGGAGUUAAAAGCCUUGUAACUGGACGCACUAGUCAUUCUUCUUUAGAAAAUGGUUCUCAUAAACAUUUUGGUCGCCGCGGGCCAGCACAUGGUGUUAAGGAUGUUGAUGGCUCAUCAACUAUGAGUGAGGGGAAGCUUUCGAGAAAAGGCACUAGCUAUAAUUCCCAUGAGAAACAAGUUUGGAUACAAAAACAAAGUUCUGGUUCAUGAUGUUAUUGAAAAGAGAGAUGAAUGGUGAAGAGGAACGCACUCUUGGAUGAAAAUUACUCAUGUCAAAUGCACUUUAAGUAGUACCCGUGGGCCUUUGUUAAAUUCUUGGUCAAUGAGAAUUUUGGAACCUGCUAUUGCUAGUGGCUGGUCCACUGGGGCCGUCUCCUUUUACUACACAGAUGAUCAGAUGUACAUUAAGUAUUGGCAUCAGCAGCGGUUCCUUUUGAAAACCGCUAGGGGAAAGUGCAGUUUUCUGAAUGAUGCAGAUACGACAUAAUUAAAAUUCCUUUGAUUGAAGAUCCUGAUUUUACUUGGGAAAAGCGACAGCUCUGAAUAGAUGAGAAGAGGAAGCAAUAGAUGUGAUUGUUAUGAUUGUGUUAUAGCACAGUUUUUUCAUUGCAGAGCCCCCUCGUUUGGGCCGGGGUUCUUUUUGUCGGAGCUAUAGAAGUCAUCGGGCAUGCUUUUGACUAGAUUAGGUAUUGCCUUAUUGUGGUUUCAUUGGAUGUCUCGAUCUCUCUGCCAUUAGUAUGAAAAUGUAAAUAUAAUCACAGAGCGAUCUGUAACCCCAGCUCUGUUAUGGCUAUCUAUCAAAGCAUCUUAAAAUUUGUUUCACACUUUUUCUUCAUUGUUGCGACUGCCACUUCGUUUUGCAGCAGUUGAUGACUGAUGUGCAGGUGCAACAAUAAUACAGAAUGCAGUAGUUUUACAAGCA